ACGAAGUAAUCCCUGAAUUUCACAACAGCUAUUCCGAGCUUUUUGAGACACUAGAAAAUGAAUUAGCCACUAAAGGAAAAGCUGGGCUAAACGCAGCAAAUGAUCAAGCAGCAUUUAACUUUCUUGCUCGAUCUUUUUACGGAGUUAAUCCGUUAGACACCAAUCUUGGAGCUGAUGGACCCAAGUUAAUUGGCAAAUGGCUGUUGUUUCAGCUUCAUCCUUUGCUAAUUCUUGGCCUUCCUAAAGUUCUUGAAGAUCUCAUUCUUCAUACUUUUAGGCUGUUGGGUAUUAUGCAAGUUAAUUGGCAAAUGGGUGUUGUUUCAGCUUCAUCCUUUGCUAAUUUUAGGCCUUCCUAAAGUUCUUGAAGAUCUUGUCCUUCAUACUUUCAGGCUGCCUUCUGCUUUAGUGAAAAAAGAUUACCAAAGAUUGUACAAUUUCUUCUGCGAGAACUCAACUUCCAUUCUUGAUGAAGCUGAAAGAACUGGAAUUUCACGUGAGGAAGCUUGUCACAAUUUGCUAUUUGCAACGUGUUUCAAUUCUUUUGGAGGGAUGAAAAUAUUUUUUCCCAAUAUGUUGAAAUGGAUUGGUCGAGCUGGGGUCAAACUCCACACUCAAUUAGCUCAAGAGAUUCGGUCAGGCAUUAAAUCAAACGGUGGAAAGAUUACAAUGGGUGCAAUGGAAAACAUGCCAUUAAUGAAAUCUGUAAUUUAUGAAUGCCUACACAAUGGGAGCAAUGGAAAACAUGCCAUUAAUGAAAUCUGUAGUGUAUGAAUCCCUCCGUAUUGAACCACCAGUUGCAUCACAAUACGGCAGAGCAAAACGAGAUAUGGUGAUUGAAUCCCACGACGGAGCAUUUGAGA
rnacentral:lncRNA from 1 species